rnacentral:rRNA from 2 species
AACCUUUAGCAAAACAAAUAUUAAAGGCAACGCCUGCCCAGUGAACAAUUAAACGGCCGCGGUACCCUAACCGUGCAAAGGUAGCGUAAUCAUUUGUCUAUUAAUUGUAGACCUGUAUGAAAGGCAAAAUGAGGGCCUAACUGUCUCUUAUAAUUAAUCAAUUAAACUGAUCUCCUAGUAAAAAAGCUAGGAUAUUCACAUAAGACGAGAAGACCCUGUGAAGCUUAAACUAAAUUAUUAAACCAAAUAAUAACUCCUUUCGGUUGGGGCGACCUUGGAAACAAAAAGAACUUCCACAAACUGUGGCCUAACACCACACCACCACAGGCCCACAAGCCAACACAUGAUCCAGCCAUAGCUGAAAAAUGAACCAAGUUACUCCAGGGAUAACAGCGCCAUCUUCUUCAAGAGCCCAUAUCAAAAAGAAGGUUUACGACCUCGAUGUUGGAUCAGGACAUCCUAUUGGUGCAGCCGCUAUUAAAGGUUCGUUUGUUCAACGAUUAAUAGUCCU